GGCUUGGGCCCUCCUGCGUGGGAAAGGCAGCAGGUAUAGAGGGAUAAAAAUUAAACCUGGGAAAAAGCCUCCUAAAUACUCCAACCAGCCACGCAAGAGCUCCAAACUCCCUCCAGGGGCUGCCCGUGGGAGCUCAGCUCAGCAGCAGCACUUGUACGCACCGCCGACAUCCUCAGAGUGUCACUGUGGUAUCUCAGCAUGGAUCUGCAGCCUUCCCUCUGCCUCCCUUCCACCCCAGAGCCUUCUCACCAUCGCUUCCACUCCAUCUCAAGCUCAACCGCAGCUCUGAGGCAAGAGUUUCAUUCCAUACGGUGGGAAUAUUUAUAGCAAAGGUUAAACUGAAACUUGAGAAAUGUAUUUGUAAAGCUCCGAGCAGGAUCUGGAGGGCGAUUGCUUUGUGGUUCCUCAGGCUCUGGCUGAAGAAAUCAUGCUCUACACACUGAGGAGUCUGACAAGGUUGAUUUGUUCUGCUCUACUGUGAAAUUCACCCUGAGGAGGGAGGAAAAAAUAAUGAAAAAUCAGCUAUUGCUUUCUUUCAAAUUAUAGAAAUGAUAUGAAGUUUUAAAUUUUAUUGUUAUUAAAUUCACAACCUAAGGAGGAAAUGAGGUUGCUCAUGAUUUUAAGCUUAGUAUUACAAAUACCCAUUCACAUUUUUGGCAUGUUUAUGUGAGUACAAAGAGCGGAGGCAUAACUUAAAAUACAUCCCUGGUUUUGUACCACAAAAUGUCAACCGCCACAGAAAACGAAGAACUCACUUGCAGAGACAGAACAGCUCAUCCCUCCCAAAUGUUCCAAGAGGGUCUGGUGCACACAGCUGAGAGCUGCAGCUCUCUCCAGAGCUCCAUCCUUCUCCUCUCCUCUCCUCCCACCUCUGCUC